rnacentral:rRNA from 1 species
UACAGAGACCUCAAGCGUUAUCCGGAAUCAUUGGGCGUAAAGCGUACCGAUAGGUGGUCUAAAAAGUCAGACGUGAAAUCUCAAGGCUCAACUUUGAGACUGUCUUUUGAAACUUUUAGACUAGAGGGGCAAAGAGGAAGCUGGAACGAACGGUGUAGUAGUGAAAUGCGUUGAUAUCGUUCGGAACACCAAUAGCGAAGGCGGGCUUCUGGGUGCCACCUGACACUGCUAGGACGAAAGCGUGGGGAGCGAAUGGG